rnacentral:rRNA from 1 species
UACACAUGCAAGCCGAGCGGUAGAGAUUCUUCGGAAUCUUGAGAGCGGCGUACGGGUGCGGAACACGUGUGCAACCUGCCUUUAUCAGGGGGAUAGCCUUUCGAAAGGAAGAUUAAUACCCCAUAAUAUAUUGAAUGGCAUCAUUCGAUAUUGAAAACUCCGGUGGAUAGAGAUGGGCACGCGCAAGAUUAGAUAGUUGGUGAGGUAACGGCUCACCAAGUCUGCGAUCUUUAGGGGGCCUGAGAGGGUGAUCCCCCACACUGGUACUGAGACACGGACCAGACUCCUACGGGAGGCAGCAGUGAGGAAUAUUGGACAAUGGGUGAGAGCCUGAUCCAGCCAUCCCGCGUGAAGGACGACGGCCCUAUGGGUUGUAAACUUCUUUUGUAUAGGGAUAAACCUAGAUACGUGUAUCUAGCUGAAGGUACUAUACGAAUAAGCACCGGCUAACUCCGUGCCAGCAGCCGCGGUAAUACGGAGGGUGCAAGCGUUAUCCGGAUUUAUUGGGUUUAAAGGGUCCGUAGGCGGAUCUGUAAGUCAGUGGUGAAAUCUCACAGCUUAACUGUGAAACUGCCAUUGAUACUGCAGGUCUUGAGUGUUGUUGAAGUAGCUGGAAUAAGUAGUGUAGCGGUGAAAUGCAUAGAUAUUACUUAGAACACCAAUUGCGAAGGCAGGUUACUAAGCAACAACUGACGCUGAUGGACGAAAGCGUGGGGAGCGAACAGGAUUAGAUACCCUGGUAGUCCACGCCGUAAACGAUGCUAACUCGUUUUUGGUAUUUCGGUAUCAGAGACUAAGCGAAAGUGAUAAGUUAGCCACCUGGGGAGUACGUUCGCAAGAAUGAAACUCAAAGGAAUUGACGGGGGCCCGCACAAGCGGUGGAUUAUGUGGUUUAAUUCGAUGAUACGCGAGGAACCUUACCAAGGCUUAAAUGGGAAAUGACAGGUUUAGAAAUAGACUUUUCUUCGGACAUUUUUCAAGGUGCUGCAUGGUUGUCGUCAGCUCGUGCCGUGAGGUGUUAGGUUAAGUCCUGCAACGAGCGCAACCCCUGUCACUAGUUGCCAUCAUUAAGUUGGGGACUCUAGUGAGACUGCCUACGCAAGUAGAGAGGAAGGUGGGGAUGACGUCAAAUCAUCACGGCCCUUACGCCUUGGGCCACACACGUAAUACAAUGGCCAGUACAGAGGGCAGCUACACAGCGAUGUGAUGCAAAUCUCGAAAGCUGGUCUCAGUUCGGAUUGGAGUCUGCAACUCGACUCUAUGAAGCUGGAAUCGCUAGUAAUCGCGCAUCAGCCAUGGCGCGGUGAAUACGUUCCCGGGCCUUGUACACACCGCCCGUCAAGCCAUGGAAGUCUGGGGUACCUGAAGUCGGUGACCGUAACAGGAGCUGCCUAGGGUAAAACAGGUAACUAGGGCUAAGUCGAACAAGAGC